rnacentral:sRNA from 1 species
GCUCUGCAGCCCACCAGGGCAGAGCCUGAAAAACCCUGUGGGAUCACGGAUUUAGGGCGGGGAAGGAUGUCAGCUCACAUUUUACUUUGCAGAUGAGUAUAUUAAGUUCAGAGAUGAUAAUGUGCCCAAGGUGCCCAGCAGGGCACAGAUUCAUUUCCUACUUCAUUCUACUGAGCCCUGUGCCUUUCCAGUCCUGGUCUGCCCCUCUAUACUCUACACAGCAGCGUGAAUGAUAAAGGGCCGAGAGUCCUGGAAGACAAUUCAGCUUUGGAUAAAAUGCUGCAGAAUGUCCAGAUGCCCUCCAAAAAACUGGACUUCAUUAUUUUGAAUGAAACAAAAUUUUGGUAUCAGAUGAUCUUGCCUCCCCAUUUUGAUAAAUCCAAGAAAUAUCCUCUACUAUUAGAUGUGUAUGCAGGCCCGUGUAGUCAAAAAGCAGACACUGUCUUCAGACUGAACUGGGCCACUUACCUUGCAAGCACAGAAAACAUUAUAGUAGCUAGCUUUGAUGGCAGAGGAAGUGGUUACCAAGGAGAUAAGAUCAUGCAUGCAAUCAACAGAAGACUGGGAACAUUUGAAGUUGAAGAUCAAAUUGAAGCAGCCAGACAAUUUUCAAAAAUGGGAUUUGUGGACAACAAACGAAUUGCAAUUUGGGGCUGGUCAUAUGGAGGGUACGUAACCUCAAUGGUCCUGGGAUCGGGAAGCGGCGUGUUCAAGUGUGGAAUAGCCGUGGCGCCUGUAUCCCGGUGGGAGUACUAUGACUCAGUGUACACAGAACGUUACAUGGGUCUCCCAACUCCAGAAGACAACCUUGACCAUUACAGGAAUUCAACAGUCAUGAGCAGAGCUGAAAAUUUUAAACAAGUUGAGUACCUCCUUAUUCAUGGAACAGCAGAUGAUAACGUUCACUUUCAGCAGUCAGCUCAGAUCUCCAAAGCCCUGGUCGAUGCUGGAGUGGAUUUCCAGGCAAUG